rnacentral:lncRNA from 1 species
AGCAAAAUAAAUUCGUACAUACAGUAACACAGUGAGCCAAAGUGUAUAAUUUAAUUUACAAUGACGUGUGGACCCCCGAAUGACCAAAAGUAACAAAGACUAUGAACCUACGAUUUUUGAAGAUGCAAGUCCAACUGUAGCUCUCAACGAAAUCAGCUAUCUACAGACUAUCCUGAGUCUAAAAUGAGUGAAAAGGAGGGUGGUGAGUUUAUAUAAACUCAGUGAGUAAACAAACAUCAUCUAAAAUAUCUAAAACCGAGUAAAUGGAGACGAUUAAAAUAGAUCAUCAUAAGAUGAUUCAUAACCUCAAAACACAUUUCAAAUCAUCUAAACCAGUUACAUUUCAUCCAAAAUAUACGAAGCUUAUGAAUCUCUUAAAAACUUGGCUCGUGCCAAAACUCAUUCUUGGGGAUACCUUGAUCAGAGGCAUCCAAUCGAGACAGCCAAGGCGGUUAAAAAAAAGUUCAUAUACGCACAAAACACAUUUUUAUGUUUAAAAGCACAGUCGUUCCUUGGCGUUGGUUGAAUUCACUCUCACAUGGUGGUUUAGUGUGAAGUGAACUCUAAACUUUACCUCAGGAGUUACCCUCCACGCCUCUCGUACCGAGGUAAAAUAUAACAAGGUUUACCGUGCCCCUCUAAUAGGCUGGUCCACAAAAACCCGCCCACUGCUGUAAGCUAAUCGAUAUCCCACUAAAUCAAUAAAAUUCCAACAGCAUGACAUGGCAAUUAUUUUACAACACAGCAUGUCAAGGCAAAACAACAGUUCAUAUAUGGUUAGCACAAUUACCAAUCCAGCCACUCAUGCCCACAUUAUCAUAAGCCAUUCAAUUCAAACCAUGAUUUAUAACACAGCAAGUAGUCCCCAAUUACUCCAUUUUCAAAACCAUCAUUCAAUUUCAAGACAAUUUUAUAAAAUCAUUUCAUUUAAUCACAUUUUACUUGUAAAACAUAAAGAUUUACCAUUUAAACUCAUUUUUCUAUCAAAUCACAAAAACGAAUGAAAACUACUUUAGAUAAUUAAGACGAUAAUAAGGUUACUCACAAUAUCGGGAGUUCGAAGUACCCUACUCUUGGUCCUCUGGCAUAAUGUCUUUACCCUUGUUAGAGGACUCACCAUCUAUACACAAUACACGAUAAAUAAUUCAAUAUAUUGUGUCAUAUCAUUAUAAAUCUAUUUCAGGCUCAAUAUGAAUGCAUGAGGUUGUUUGGAUAGUCAGUUAAAAAUGGAAUUCACGUUGGUUCAAGGGUGAUCGGAAUGGAUCAAUUUUCGACCUAAUUUGAACUCUUCACUUUUGAUUUAACCAAAACAUCCAAAUUGACUCCAAAUAAAUUCAUUUCACUUCCAAUACUCCAAAUCAUCAAAUAUAAGCUAGAUAACAUGAAUUAUAGCAAAAUCAUCCUCAACAUUUUCUCUUGGAAAAUUCGGCCAUGGUGGGUGCAUAAGCACUAUGGUUUUUCACACUUGAUUUUUUUACACCAUAAAUCAUUAAUUCCUAACCAAAUCACUUGAAAUAAAAUAAAAUCCACCAUUCACAUACCAUAAGGAAGAUUCGGCCAAUGAGGGUGAUGUAAGAACAUGAAUUUUUCUUGUUUACUUUUUAUAUUACACAUCACCAACCAACUAAAAACACUAGAAUAACAUGAAAUCUAGCUAAAUCCUAGAUCAAAACUCCUCCCCCCAUGUCCGGCCAGCAAAGGUAUCCUCAUGCAAACUUGAUUCUCAACCAUGGAAAAUGAAAAAGAAUGCAUAGGAAAGGUAGAUCACAAGCUAAAAUCAAGAAAUUUUACCUUUACUUGCUCAAUUCCUUGAAAUCCACCAAUUUUCUCUUGAAUUUUCUAACUAGGGUUUUGUUCUUUCUUUCUUUCCUCUUUUCCUUGG